AACGAACGCUGGCGGCAGGCCUAACACAUGCAAGUCGAACGCCCUCUUCGGAGGGAGUGGCAGACGGGUGAGUAACGCGUGGGAAUUUACCUAAAGGUGGGGAACAACAGUUGGAAACGACUGCUAAUACCGCAUACGCCCUUCGGGGGAAAGAUUUAUCGCCUUUAGAUGAGCCCGCGUCUGAUUAGCUAGUUGGUAAGGUAAAAGCUUACCAAGGCUACGAUCAGUAGCUGGUCUGAGAGGAUGAUCAGCCACACUGGGACUGAGACACGGCCCAG
rnacentral:rRNA from 1 species